UCUCCUCAAACGAAAAAAAAUCUAUGAGAAAAAACCAACGAAAAAAAAAUCCACCACAUGAGCGAGCGAGAACCUUCGUCUUCUUCUCGCCCCAAACCCUAGAGGUCUGACGGGCACCGAUCUAGUCGAGCCUCCACCGCGGAUGGCCACCCGCCGGUAAGGCCCCCAUCUGUCCCCCCUUGAUCCCCUCUACCCGCUCGUCCGGUGUGUGCCACCGGCGCCUCCGCCGGCGCUUGCGUCCUGGGGUUCGUCCCCUAUCCCUCAGCCUUUGUCUCCCGGCGCGGGCGGCGUCGCCAAGUCAUGUGUGCCUUUCUGGGAGCCUUGACGGGCUGCUGAUUAGAGGACACCAACCUGGCCUCAGAGGAGGCCAUCCGCACCAAGUUCCUGUAGGUGCUGGUCGCCUGAGUGCACGGCCAGGCCGCCGCCACCGUCUCCUGCUACGAGUCUCUCUCGUUGCGAGCUGCAGAGCCCGUUCCCCUGCAAGGUUGCAACAACCUAAGUUUCUAUUUUCUAUCUGGGCUCCACAGGCAGUAGUAGGAUGCUCAUAGGCAACCCAAGGUGUGUAUGCCCCUACUUCCCCAAGGUACUCAAGCCCCAUGCCUGGGGCGACCACGAGAUGUGUGCUGCUGUGAGGCAUGUAGCACCACUUCUCCAGACUGCUAUAAUCAGUGGAAGAUCUCAUGACAUGAUAGGCGUCAUGGUCUCAUGGAAUGGACAUCACGGGGCUUAUUAGGAACUCUGAGUUCAGCGGGCACCAUGCCGAAAGAGCUCAAUCUCUUCCAAUACACAACUGCUGAGGUAUGUAUCAAUGUCUAAAGGUUAAAAAGACCCAGGUUACACCAUAUGGUUUAGGUUGCUCAUCUUGGUUGAGUAGAGACUAGGUGUUCAAAAAUCUUAGUGAGAGUAUAAAGGACAUUGUUGAUGGUGCAAGAAUGGAACACAACAAGUUUUGUGUGUGUGUCUCUGUGUGUGUGCGCGCGCGCGCAUUACCGAAACGUCGCAUGACCUGACUACGAAAAAGUUCAUCUGUGUGUAACUGCCGGGUUCUCGAUGUCCGCCCUCUCAUUGAUAGGGUGAAAGUUGUGGAAUUUUUGCUUUAACUGCCUGGACUAAGAUGAUAGGACAUACAAAGAUGCAUUCAAGGUAAGCCAUGCCUCUGGUAUGCUUGCUUAACAUGUGAAACCCAUAAGACAAUUCUUACGAGUUGCGGCCUGCACUGUGGUGUCUCCGUUCAUCAAGUUCUGAGCACCAGCUCUAGUGAAAUUAAGCGUUCGUCCAGCUAUACUCCUAGGUGGCUUUCUUUGGUCCGCUUCUUAUUGUGUAGUUAGUGGUUAUGCACAAGCCUCAUCAUCUGAUAUUUCUAUAGUAGUUAUUGAAAACAAUUUGAGGACAAAGCUUUGAUUGUUGUUGUAGUUGAAGAUUCAGAGUUGCAAGGCAGGCAUAGUUAAUAGGGAUAAGAAACUAUAGAAGAUUUAUCAAACCAGAUAUGGGCUUGGUUAUGCACUGAAUCAUUGUGGAGGAUCUCAGUUAAUUAGGCCAUACACCCAAAAUUAAAUUUUACUUGGUUUUAAAUGUUUAGGGGGCAAAUGAUGUUUCAUAUGCUAGACUGAGGUACGCACCUUUUAAGAGUAUCAAUGAUACUCCAGUCACCCAUAAAAAUGGAAGUACUGAAAAUUAGUUUGUAAGGAAAAAACUAAAUAGUGAGUCCGAGCAAACCUACUGCCUAGAUUACAUGAGAUCAUUUUAGCUCUAAGAGUUUCUUUUAUCUCUUUUACAUUCUGGUAAACAUGUGGGUGAAUAACUGUUAGAAAUUGUUCUAUAUGUACACGUGCAUUCUACUAGAACUGAUGCUUGAAAGAAUAAAAAGUUUAGUUAUAUUUGUAAGCCAAGCACUGGAAAAGCUCACUCCUCAUAGUAGAUCACCAUCGUCUACGUAGCUGCUUUGUCGAAACAGAGUCCACAGGUUUACUCAUGUCCUCUGUUUUUUGUUGUUUGAGGGAAGGUUUGUUAGGAGCCCAUCUCUUCUGCAGCAAGCCCUGGAGAAAGAGACCUAGAUAUAGUGGUACUUGCUAGCUUUUUAAUGGACACUUCCUUUUAGGCUUUUUUAGUUUCUCUAUUUCUCUAAGAGACUUCAAUGAGUGAGAAUUUUUUGUUCCCUCCCUUUUUCAUUGUCUUUUGGAGUUUUGCUUUGUGGUGAGAGGAGGAUAGAGAUACCCAAUUGCCGUGGGGAUCAGAGAUUAGGUGAGGUCACAUAGUUUGUCUCGGCUUUACAAUGUGAGGUAAAGGAAGAAAAUAAAGUGAUGUUAGAAUAUUACAAUGAUAUAUCUAGACAUAUCUCUACUCCUAAUGGAGCAGUUGGUAGUCUCCGUUUCGUUUUUUUUCCGUCCCACCUCCCACCUUCGUCUGGUUUUUUCUGGUUACUAUGCAGUACAAGUGAAUUUUCUUCACACAUAAGCCAUGGAAUAUUUGAGCCUGACAUGCUCACCUUCUCGGGAUGCUACUUUGGGGGUGGCAAAUCGAGUUAAUUGAACUAGGUGAAAUAUGUAAGAGCUGGAAAACACUGAUGUAAGUGAUCAAUACUCAUUCAGGUUUUGACAGUUACACCAUUACAGUUAAACUUGUGAGCAGGAAAGUUACACUGAUAGAGAACGCCGGCAUUGUAAAUACCCUCUUAACAAUUGAAGAAGUAGGUUCAUGAUCUGGGCAUUGGGGUCAGGACGCCCAUAUCUUGGGCUGGAAGAUGUAUAUGGAGCAUUAGAGACAUUAGCACCUGGGAUAGACAUUAGCUCCGAGGCGAUUGUUUAGUUCUAGCUAAGACAUUAUACAUACAUAUGUUACAUUCAGAUAAAGAUUUUACUUUUCCCAGGGUUAGAAUUAUGAAACCUUUAGUCUUGGGAUCAAAAUAGAUAUUGCCUUAAUAUCUAAGCCAUUUACGGACAUGACCGUGAAUAUGUUUAGUGUAACAUGUAUAACAUAAUAAAGUUGGAGAAGAUUAAGGAAUGCAGAAUUUUAGUUAAUCAUGUGGGCCUAGGGUUUUCUAACAGAGAGCAAAGUCACGGAAUCCAUCAGCUAAAGUUUGGCUUCGAUCCAAACACACCAUCAGACUUUCAGGCCCUGGGCUCGGUAAAUCGAGAACGAGAGACGCCUUCAACUUUCCAGCCAUGGACUCACUAUCGAGAGAGAGGAAGAGAGCAGUCAGGGGGUGGCGGCAGCUUAGGAGCAUGAGCGCGGCGGCGGCC